GGGCGGUAGGUGUCAGGUGUGUUUGCAUGCUUUUUUUUGGUAGCAGGAUUAGGUGUGCUCUGUUAAGGCAUCCAGUGUUAGCUUUUAGUUCCAGAUUGGGGGGGAGCCAGAAAUUAUGUGAAGCCUGGGCAAGUAUGAGCCUAAUAAGUGUAUAAUCUGAAAUUUUCAGGUGUUUGGGUCAGGUUUUUAUUCUUGAUACCGGACUUUCCGUAGCGGGUUUAACGUAUGCUGGCAAGAUGGGUAAUUGAUCCUGCGACCUCGAAAGCACUUCCACCAGCCUAGGAGUUAUUUGUGUUAGAUGCAUAUGGAUUUUAUUUUACACUACCUAAACGUGUAGUAAAGAAACAGGUUCCAAUGAAAUGUGAGGUAAUCCAUUGGUUUCCAAAAAAUUAACCAGUAAAAUAAACCUUGAAUUGUUUACAAAACAUAUAAAAUAACACCAAAAUCCCAAACCACAAUUCUACAUUAAAUAACAAAGUGAAAUUAUGAACAUAGUAAGCAUACAAAUGUAAUUUUCAAUUGAAGUAAUAUAUAACCUCAAUGAUCAAUUCCCCACGAUCUAACCUUGAAAUUUAAAUCCCACUCCCUCCAUUCCUAAAUAUAAGUCAUUUUAGAGUUUGCACUACAAAACUACAUACGGAUGCACAUAGUACAUACUUUAGAGUGUAGAUUCACUCAUUUUACGUCAUACAUAGUCCAUUAGUAAAAACUCUAAAAAGACGUAUAUUUAGGAAAGGAGUGAGUAAUAUCAAUCUCCAAGAGUUAGCAAUCGUACCUAACUACUUCCUCCGUUCCUAAAUAUAACUCUUUUAAGAGUUUUCACUAGAAGACUUAUAUUUAGGAAUGGAGGGAGUAGUUAGGUACGAAGACAUAUUUUAGAAUCUAGAUUCUUUCAUUUUACUUCGUAUCUAGUCAUCUAGUAAAAUCUCUAAAAAGACUUAUAUUUAGGAACGGAGGAUAGUAAUCACUAAGGAACGGACAAGCAAAAAACAGAUGUGUAAAAAGCCAUUCCUUUGGAUCUGCUCCAGCUAAGCGCACCACCAGCCACGCGCACAGCCCAUUUCAGCCUCCAUACGCCGACGUUUCGUCUCGGAUCGACCCAGGGUGCCGCCGUCUUGAACAGACGAACAUGCGGGGUCGCGGGGAGGGUUUUUUUUUGAGAAAAGGGUCGCGGGAGGUGGAGCGAUCGACCAAUCAUCGUCCUUUUUUUGAGAGAAAGAUCAUGGCCGUUUUCGUCUGGAGUAAACAACAACCGAACAGACUGCUUACUAGGCUAGUAGCGCAGUGGGCCUCCUACGUCCAUCACGCAAGUCACACAUAACCCACCCAUUACGAAAGGGAAAAAGAUGCCCAUUAGCUGAUCAGAAACCAGUCCAACUGCCCAGGUAAAAGCACGAUGCAUUGACGAGUUUGCCAAUGUAACAGAGCCAUUGUAGCUUGCCCGUACUGAGCGAACCCGGGCAAGUGCCCAGGGUCGCUGGGCGCUGGCUCCGCCACUGGUUCCAGAAAAUCUGUCAUGAAUGAGUUGAUGUGGUUUUUGACGAGGUUCCAAUGUUUUCUAUAGAACCGUGGGCCGAAGCCGUCAGGUACGGGCCUAGCUAGGGGGUUCAUUUGAAGGAACACAUCUUUUAUUUCUUCGUUUGUAAAGGGAGAGUCCAGUGCGAGGAGUUGAGGUAGCGUUUGUGGGUAGUGUUGUUGUGGUUGUAAUGACCAGAAGGUGUGCAGUGAAGAACCAAUACUAGCUGUGAAAUGAUAUUUUAGAAUGGUCACCUUUCGGUUGUGAGAGUCGAACUCAAUCCCGUUGUCCAGGAGGGAUGUUAUAGUGUUCUUGCGAAUCCGUUGAGAGGCGGCUGCAUGAAAAUAUUCUGUGUUUUCCUCAACUUUUAUUGCAGUGUGAAUUUGGCCUCGCUGUUUCCCAGAAGGCCAAUUUUUCAAUAACAGUCGAGUGCAAGGUAUCUGAAAGAACAUUUCCUAACAUAUUUUCGGCUUUGGAGAGUGGACGAGCCUCUUCUUUUAGAUCGAUGAGAUGGAUGAUUUAUUUUGCAGCCGCUUCGCGAUGGUGUGCUGGGGAUCAUUUGGAAGGUACCCAUUCAUGGUAGUUGUUUUCCCAAAUGUGCGCCCUUUAGGGCUUGAAUCCUGGACUAGAUAGCUAGUCUAAGGUUAUGCACAAAACAUUAUGGGCCAACAUGGUAAACCGUACUUAGUAUAGCCUAGUAAGAAGAAUUCUAGUCGAUCCCUUGGGCUCUUCCUCUCCGGAUGAGCCGAUCACGGAUACCCUUGGCUGCUCCUUCUAUAUUGAUUGGCCCUUCCUCUCCCGGCUGAAUCCCACCCCGUGUCGUUGUCGCCUCAUGUCCAUGGUGACUCGCAGACCCAGGUCCACACACACAUUCUAUAUUGCAAUUUAUUGAUAUAUUUUUAUUAAGAACACACACUACAAUUCACAACGGCCCUCAGUUUUCUUGACACCGCCCUAUUAGGAUUGACGCUUGACUUGACUAGAAUUGAGUCUAGACCAUGUGUACUUUUUUUUGAAAUCACCUGUCGAAUCAACAUGUUGUGCACAAUCGUUCCGUCGAAAUAAGUGUUUCUAGAAAAAAAAAGGAUAUUGAUUCUCAAAGAUCACACAUUUAGGAAAAUCUCUCAAGUGGAAUUGUAAUAAUAGUAUUGAAAGGUUAAAGAUUCUAGCUACAAUAAUAUCAAAGUGCACCUAGAAGGACUAAACUUUCCGAUGACCUUAUCUUCAGCUUACUUGUAGUGUACAUGACAAACUAUUGAUUACCGGUAGUACACGACAUUCUGACUUCAUUUCAUUUCUUGGGAAACUNNNNNNNNNNNNNNNNNNNNNNNNNNNNNNNNNNNNNNNNNNNNNNNNNNNNNNNNNNNNNNNNNNNNNNNNNNNNNNNNNNNNNNNNNNNNNNNNNNNNNNNNNNNNNNNNNNNNNNNNNNNNNNNNNNNNNNNNNNNNNNNNNNNNNNNNNNNNNNNNNNNNNNNNNNNNNNNNNNNNNNNNNNNNNNNNNNNNNNUUUAUUUACGGCGACAGUUUCCUGGAUGAAGAUAGUCACCUGCACAUAGAUCCAUAAGAACGAAAUAAGACAGCAACACACAUUUAUAUGAAUGUAUACAAAUAGAUACACACACACACCCCACAUGUGUGUGUGUGGGGGGGGGGGGGGNNNNNNNNNNNNNNNNNNNNNNNNNNNNNNNNNNNNNNNNNNNNNNNNNNNNNNNNNNNNNNNNNNNNNNNNNNNNNNNNNNNNNNNNNNNNNNNNNNNNNNNNNNNNNNNNNNNNNNNNNNNNNGGGGGGGGGGGGGGGGGAUGCUUACGUGGAUGAACCUACCUAUAGAAAAAUAGGAAGAAAGAACGAAAUAAUAAGAAGAAUCUAUGCCGAUUUCUCAGGAGUGAGAUGACCUUCACUUCACUAGACAUAUUACAAUAUUAAUAUGUCUGACGGACUUAAUCAUGGACUACCCAACUGCUCCCCAUUUCAUAGUGUAUGUAAAUCUUGUCAAAGUAGAUUUUUUCCUAAGUCAAACUUUGACCAAGUUGACUUGAUCAAAGUUUUACCAAGACACAAUAUAUAUACCGUCUCCUCUAUUUUAACAUCAAUGCAUCGUAAUUGAACGUUCCGUAAAUUUUGUCUUAAUUCAAACAUAAAAAGAAACUGUAAAAAAAUAUAUAAUCAACAUAAAAAUAUUUCAUGUAAAAUUACGAAUAUACCAAAAUAGUGUAAAAUAUACAAAAAAUCAAUUAUUUCUGGUCUUGUGACUUAUAUUUUUGUUUUCUUAUGUCAAACUUUUGUAACUAUUUGUAUUUCAAAUGUAAUUUAUUUAUAAAUUGAUUGUAAGAUUAUAUUGGGUGAAGAAUAAACUAUUAUGCAUCCUGGAUGAUGAAUAGAGUUUCUACACACACACACACUCCAACCAAAAUAUGGUUAAAAAUGGGAAGUUUUGUUACCCUCUUCGAUGUUAGCUUGACAGAGUAGCAAUGUGAAUAUUCUCUCAUGUCCGAUUAAGUCCGACACUUAUUUCUAUAUCGUCAAUUUGAACAAUUAAACACAAGUUGUAUGCACAAAAAAAAAUAAACCAUUAAAACCUUCUUUUGCUACAAAUUUAAUGGUAUACUUCUGUGAUUUCGUUUGCCAAAUUGACGAUCUACAAAUACAUGCAGAUUUUAUAAACUGGAUGAGUGGGUGAGUGAGUGAGUGAGGGAGGGAGAGAGAGAGAGAGGGAGGGAGGAAGGGAGAGAGUAAUAUCUACCAAGGUGAGUGGACUGACUCGUGUCCUAUACACUGCACAAAGAAAAAUCGGUCGGCAUAAAUUACAUAGAAUUGUAGUAAAGUCAUGCACUUAAGAGGCUUGCUUACAAGCUGUUCCAGUUCUGUCGGGCGGAGGUCUGCCAUGCACAGAGACGAGUUGGAGGAACGCAAGAAACAGCAACACAACGAUAAUCCAAUGCUUGCUGCUUGUAGACAUCUUAUCAAUCAGAGCUCACAAUGACUAGAUACUGAGGCACUCAACAGAGCAUUCGAGCUGUUGUCUUGCCUUAUAUAACCGAUUCGAAGUCAACUUUUCACACAAUAAUCCAACAUUUAGUGGAUGACUAUGCCACAUGGUUCUUGGUCUUAACAACAAUAUAAGUAUUUCUUGUUUGAUUCAGAAACAACUCCUUAAUUAGCCUACUCGAUGCUGACUUAUUCUCUCAUUGACACAUUCAAAAACUGGUGUGCCAACCACAAUGAGAUGGCUUGAUAUCGAGCGCUGGAGAUGCUCUAUUGUUAAAAUAGAUCUUGGGAUGGUGCCACAAUAUCUGGUCAAACUAAGUAUGUUUAUAUGAGUUGAUGUGGAUGUUUGGCUUGGAGACUGAGUACCCAGAUGGCAAGUUGCAGUGAAAUUGAAUAAACGAAAUUCAUGUACAACUUUGCAAAACUGAUCGUUGAAAUUUGCAAGUGCAGUAGGUACACAUAUGUUGGUGUGUGGCUGAGGUUAUUCAACCAACCCCAGUUUUAUUUAAGCUGAUAAACUACAACUAUCAUUUUUAAAAACUAUAAUUCUAAAAGGAAUGCUGGUUUGACAGAGUAGCAGGUCGAAGAAGCUACUCUGGUUUGACAGAGUAAAAGGCACUGGUGUUACUCUUUAAAAUAUAUACCAGCGGCACUGCAUAUUCUAAGAGCACUUGAUAGUUGACAAAGAGGUUUCGUAAGAAAUCAUUGGUCUGAUUUGACUCGGCUGCAUCUACAACUGUGCAUUCUUAAACCAAACUGAAAAUACCGUACCGAUAGAAUGCAAACUAAGCCUAAAUUUAUGGCUUGUAUGUUUUAGGAUUUAUGUUGUGGUAUAUAGGAUUUAGAAACCAUAGAUACAGUGUUUUUUGGGCAUAAAACCUAAUUCUUUUUGUAAAACCGAAUUAACAAAGCUAUGACACAUUUUUAAGACUAUAUCUCGGCGAGUAGAACUCCUCGGUUAGGAUCUCCUUUGUCAUGGCUAUCGCUCCAGUCCAACAACUUAUUCAUCCACUCAUGCACAUACACAAUUUGGUGAUUUGCUAAUUAAUGGUACGUAUAGUAAGUUUUUUUUUUUGCAAGAAAACUACCAAUCUAGCAUGACUACAAGCACUGGAGCGAGUCGAAGACCCGCCAUCAUCGUCGUCUCUCCCCCACUGGAUUCGGGAAACCUAGCUUGUUGCAGUAGACAGUCGGGAGGAAGUCAUGCUAACGCCCCACAAGGCCAGCGCAUCAGAAUAACAACCAUUGCGGAUAAACAUAAGCGUAAAUCAGUAGACACAUGAACAUAGAUGAAAUAAGACUUGAUCCAAGCAGAUCAAUCAAAGACAAGCAUUGAUCGAACCCCGUGAGAUAUGUUAGAGAAAGACGUCCAAGACAAUGCUAGACGCGCCAUCAGGAUGGGGCUAGGCCGGGAGAACCUCGUUACAUCUUCAGGGAGCGACCACCGCCUUGUGUUCCUGAACAUGACACAAAUCCUAAUCCAACUCACGAAAGCACCUAAAAACAGAGCCCUCUCUCUGGAAGGGACCGGGAUCCACCACAUCUCCAAGGCCCAAAGGACAGAAAAGACAAGGUAAGGAAAACCUAUCUCAUGUUCGCCUUGCGUCGCGAGCAAAGAGUUACACUAUGCGGCUUUCCGUAGCAUGUUUAGGUAGGAUCACUACUACACAGUAAGCUACUAGGCAAUACAUCUUGAAUAUCUUUUUUGGCGAGGUAGAUGUUGAUUCGUUUUUCUUUGCGGGGAGAGAUAUAUGUUGGUCUGUAAUCAGCGGUGUUGGCCUGCAAUCAAAGACUCCGUCAUCCAUGCAUUCCAGAAGUUUGUCUCCUUUAAUGGACGUUUUUUUAGCCAAAUCCGGAUUUCGUUUUGCUUCUCACAGUCAGUCUACUCGACUCUUUUCCCUACCAUCCCCUCCUGGGCACUCAUUUCAUUACUUUCGUCCACGGUACCCUCACUUGUCGAACAAAACCUUGAUCACCCUUAUUCCAAAUAAGGAGGGAGCUGUAGAAUGGUGUGAAUGUUCACAUAGUAAAAAAAUGAAAUUUUGUGCUCUCCUUUUUGAAUUUGCAUCAACUUUUGUUAGUUCGGUAUUGACUGAAACCAUGUCGAUUUUUUGUCAAGUACUAAAACCGGACCACAUUUCAAUUUUAUGCCAUAUUUACCGAAGUAUUGGUACCAUACCAAUAAAACUAUAUUUACCAAACUAAAUGCAUAGAGUUAGUUGCCUCCCUACCUCACCCGUCAAUUAGAAUUAGGUGAAUACCAGUGAUUGACGGGGUGUACCAUAUAACCACAUACAUAUACAUUCUAUUCCCCAAAGAAGAGUAGGGGAGCGUAAGGUCAAUCCCAAUGUCCUUCACUUAUUUUUGCUACGUAAACUUGCCAUUUAACUUAGGCCCUGUUUGGAACCACAAUAGAUUAUAAUAAUCUAGAUUAUGAAGAUAGAUUAUAUAAUCUGGUUUAUAAAAAUAAUCCAGGUGGGUAUGUUUGGAGGCCAGAUUAUAUAAACUGUAAUUCAGGUUUUACAUUGUACAAUGACAUGUCUGUCCUGUAUAAAAAUAAAACGAUGGCGGUGGCAGUAGGUAAUUAUCUUCAAGUUUACAAGGGUAAUAGGUCAUUAGUAAUCCAUAAUCUGAUUUUAGCUGGGGUAGAGUAGAUUAUGAGUUUUUAAUAAUCUGAUCAUCUAGUUUUUAAAAUCUACAACAUAAACUAUCCUGUUUGGAAACAUAACAGAUUAUAAAAACCAGAUUAUAUAAUCUUGGUGGUUCCAAACAGGGCCUUAGAUACUCCCCAUCCAAUGAGUACUUUUUUAUACCGACCAAGUAUUUAAAAUAGCAGACCUCACUAUUAAAGAUUGUUAAGUAUAAUAUAACUGGAUGAUAAGUAAGAGAUACAAUGAUCUAUGUGUUGAUUUGUGUGAAGAGCAUUGAAUCACCGAGGAGAAGCCAUCACACAUGACACUGUAAUUUAUUAAUAAUGUUCACGCGUAUAGGCCACAUCCUUAGGGCAUGACUAUGGGCACUACUCUUCAUGUUCUAAGGGCAUGACUACUAGCGCUGCUCUCCUUGUACUAAAUAGACAUAGUACAAGCACAAGAAUCCUACCAAGACAAUCAAACAACGUCCUCAAAACCACCUGCCCAGCCGAUCCUUCCACGUCUACCAUAGAGGCCCGGACCAUUCCUCUCGUGAUCUUUGUCUACUUUACCAGUUUCAGUGUAUUCUCUUUAGCUACCCUGGCGGUGCCUUCAUAUAAUAGGCCCACACGGUUUGACUCGAAGACAUUACUCCGGUAGUUACGAGUCUAACCACAGCCUAACAGGUAUACACAUAUUUGAACUUUUUUGUUAACUUCAUGGCGAUAUAAAGUAAGAAAACUAACAUGGAUAUCUAAGAGACAUUGCCAAGGAGGAGCACUGGAAGAGGCCUAAGUACUCCCUCUGGCCAACAAAGUGUGACAUAUUGUACAUGUCUUAAGUCAAGUCAGGAGGUUAAUACUUGAGCCACCAAUACGAUUCAACAAUUUUGAUUUGAAAUUAAACGACAUAAACAUAUAUAUUUUUUUCUCAAGAAGUAUUUUCAGAAUAUUAUAGUUUUGUUGGCUAUCAUACAUAUAAUAUUUUCAAUAAUCUUUCAUCUUACAUUUUAUAAAUAAACUGUCAAUUCAUCAUUUCUUUUCUUUGUUUCCUCACUUUAGUCUUAACCACAACCAUCGAUUCAUCAUUUCUCUUCUUUGUUCGUCGCGGUAGUCAUUAUGCAUUCUUAUUAUGUUCAUCUAUUCUAAUUUGUCUUUGUCAAUCAUUGUGAUUUCUCGGAGGUAUCAAUUAUUUGCCAGAAUCCCCUAACUAGACUUUCAAGUAUGUGCAUGUAACGCAAUGGGUUUGAGUGGGAUGCGUAUGUCGAUGGUGAUGUACUCGUUGACGUUGUCUCAACAUGUUUGUGAUAGGUUGACGAUGGUAACAUAUGAUUUGCAGCUAUAGCAUUUGUUUAGUUUUUUUUUCUUCUGAUUUGGUGUUUUUGCUACAUUGAGUCAACAAAUUCUAGUUUGGAGAUCAUCAUUGCGGCCACUCUCUUGUGUGGCUGAAACAUAUAGAUAAACUAGAUGAUACCGCACACUUUGUUGUGGAAAUGUGUUGCGGUACAUUUCAAUGCAAUAUUAUUGUAUCAAACAUCCAUAAUUGAGGUAAUAACAUGAGAACUAAAAUAAAAAAUACAUAUGAUUUAUUGUGUUUUAUCAUUGCAUGUUCUAAAAUAUCUAGCAUAGAAUAUAAAUUCUUAUGAAUGUUUGCAUGUUGAGGUGUUCUUUAAUGCAUGGUUGCACGUCGUGCUGGAGUGAUUUCUUAUGCUUGUUGAUGUGAAAGCAAUAUGAUUUAAAACCCACUUAGAACGUACUAAUGCAUGUUGCAUGAUAUUGGAUACACAUGGGUACAAUGGAGGGUGAUAGCGGAUCAACCUAGUAAUCCAACGACUACAACAAUUUGAAUGAUAUGGAAGCACGCGUGUUGAGGUAAUUAGAAGUAGUUGGUAUCACUCUCUUAAGAUGUAAGGUAUGAUGUAUCUAUCAUCAUAUAACUGUUAGAUUGAUCUCUUUCCCAAUGGGCCCAAUGGCCCAUUGGACCUUGACUCACGCCCUGAUCGGGGGCGUCCAGCCCAAGCAAGGUUGGUGGGCCCCUGUCGUGCAGUGCUGUUUAUAGAGGAGGUGGGGACCAUGGCAUAGACUACGAGGUUCGCCNCCACGGGAUCUAUCAAUGGUAUCAUGAGCCAUGAGGCUUUAGAUGUUGUUCCGGUUGCAAGAAGAUAACGAAAGCGAUAAAGUUUACCCUCCCGGAUAUGAACCCUAGAAGAGGGCAAAGAUCAAGCUGAAAAGCAAAAGAAAGUCACCGGAUUUCCAUUCGGCAAAGAAGCGCCGCCGCAAGGCCGCGCCUGUUCCUCUCGAUCCCCACACGCAUCGGCAAGCCGAGGUGUGGGGAAGAAGAACCUACCUUCUCAAAGGCAAAGUAUGGAUCUGAAAAGAUCCAAAAGGAAAACAAAGAAAGGAUCUGAUUAGAUCCAAAGGAAAAAGGAAAAACAAAAGAUCGGAUUGGAUCCGAAAGAGCAAAAGAAAAAGGGGGGGGGAUGCAAAGAAAAUUCCUACACCCCAACCGGGGCAAAGGGCACCACCACCGCGCCCUUGACGGUGGCGCGUUCACCUUGAAAGUGCUCGCGCGCACCGGCAAAAGAACGGAGAUGGAGCCACCGUAUCAUGCCGCUGUGCCAUAUCUCUACACGGAAAGGAAAAGGAGCACCACGGCCAACCCACUCGACGGCGGCGCGCUCACCGCAAGGGAACGCACAACCGGCGAAAGGGGAGGCCACGGCGCCACUAUCUCUUACUCUGCCGACGCCUUGGUUCUCUCUCUGUCUUGUAACUAGAUGGGGGAGGAGGGGCUAGUCGAGCAAGGAAAAAGAGAGAGAAAGAAAGAAAGGAAGGGGAGGAAGAAGAAGGGCAUGCGCGGUGCGGUGGCCGGAGAGGAAAAUAAAAGACUCGCGAGGGCCAGAAGAGGAGAAAGAGGCGCGUGGGCAGAGAACGCCUCGUCGCCGUCGCGGUGGCCGGCAGGCCAUUGCUGCCUCGGGGGCUCCCAGGGACUCUCCUCGAUGGGGCAAGGAAGCCGCCGCGUAAGGGAGAGCGCAAGAGGCCGCCGCCGCGGAGCUCCUCGGCGGGGCUAGAGAGUCGCCGCACGAGGGAGGCUCGGCCACCGCGGGGAGCGCCAAGAGAGNNNNNNNNNNNNNNNNNNNNNNNNNNNNNNNNNNNNNNNNNNNNNNNNNNNNNNNNNNNNNNNNNNNNNNNNNNNNNNNNNNNNNNNNNNNNNNNNNNNNNNNNNNNNNNNNNNNNNNNNNNNNNNNNNNNNNNNNNNNGAAAGAGCAGCGCGGUGGCGUGGCCCUGCCGGCGGCCUAAACGGCCAGGAGCUCGCAAGAAUGCACGUGCCCUCGGGCUGCUCGAGGCUGAGAGGAGCAAUGGGAGCGGCGCGGGGGGAAAUGAUGUUUAGGGUUUUCGCCUCAGGCCACAGGCUGGGUUUUUGUUGGAGAGAAAAGAGCGCCCGGCCGUCGGAUUAGAUCCGACGGUCCAGGGCGAAAACCUAGCGUCGGCGGGGGGCGGCUGGGCCUGCCAGGCCAAAAGGCCACAGACCGGCGCGAUGAAGAUGGGCCGAGGCCGAAGGCCGGCUAAGGCCGCAAGCAGGGCAAAAGGCGUGCACUGGUUUUUCGUUAAAACGUUUCCUUUUUGUUUUAUGUCUAUUUUAGACAGAUUCAAUAUAUUUUCUCUGUGCAUAUUUCUCCUACAAAAAUAUGUUUAGAAAAUAGCAAAGAAAAAUGUUCGAAGUUUGUGUAAAAACAAUGUUGAUUUUUCUGAAAAGAAAAAUAAAUGGUUCUGAAAAUAAAAGNNNNNNNNNNNNNNNNNNNNNNNNNNNNNNNNNNNNNNNNNNNNNNNNNNNNNNNNNNNNNNNNNNNNNNNNNNNNNNNNNNNNNNNNNNNNNNNNNNNNNNNNNNNNNNNNNNNNNNNNNNNNNNNNNNNNNNNNNNNNNNNAUUUUCAGAAAAAGAAAAGUUCAUGAAUUUUAUAAAAAAGAUUAUAUAUAAAGUUCAUGAAUUUUUAUGACAGAAUAUUUUUCUGUAAUAGUAACAUGUUUUUUUUUGAAAAGGAAAAUAAAAGGUUCUGAAAAUAAAAGAAAGAUUUUCAGAAAAAGAAAAAUUUAUGGAUUUUGUAAAAGAGAUUAUAAAGUUCAUGAAUUUUUAAAUUUUAACAGAAUAUUUUUCUGUAAAGAUGUAUGAAUUUUCAUAUUCACGUUUUUCCGCUGCAAAGUAAAAAGGUUUAGUCCUCCAAUUAAAUUGGAACCAACGGAAAAAUUUAAUUGGAAGAACUGUUAUUAGCAAAGUUUUCCCUUGUGGGUGAAAUAGGAUUCAAACAGUUUCCGCUAUGACAAUAGAAUGAUGUUUGUUUUAAAGUUAAAUAUGGUAUUGUUAUUUUCUGACCAACGUUGAUGAUAACAAUACUAUAAUUGUAUGAGCCAUCUUAUGUUUAAAGCUUAAAUAUCUGAUGAAUUUUGUAUCAAAGUGAUCAAUUUUUCGGAGCACAGAUAAAGAAAUGCAUAUGGUUAAUGAUGAUGAUGAUUAUUUCUUAGCAAAGUUGUUCAAUAGAAAUACUAUCAUCACAUUGUUUAUGAUUAUAUGCAUUAUUUCCAUUUCUGCCCAACGGUGAUAUGGAAUUAAUGCAGAAUAAUGAUGUUUUAUUCUAAUUCAGCCACAAGGUGUUUUAGAAUAUUCCAGAAAGUUUUAAAAGGUUUAAUGUGCAUGAUUUUAAUCAGACCAACGUAGGGUUAUUUUUAUGCUCAUUACCGUUGUUUAUUGGCUAAGUUUUCUCAGACUAAAAGUUAUUCAAGCUUUCACUCAUGAAAGCGAAUGUUUGGGUACUAGUGACCCGAAAGAUGGAAGAAAGGUCAUAACUUGAGGGAAUAAAUUCUCUCUAAAGAAUGGCUUCAAAAGAAAAGAACUCUUGGAUAUUAAUUCAAGAGAAGAAAAGAGAUAGAUCAUUGAGAGUCUUGGUUGACGAAUGUCUUUCAUGUACUCUCUAUGAUGGAGUCUCCUUUUUUUCAGUCAACAUGAUUGAAAUGAAACAAGCAACAUGCAUGUUUAAUUUGACCAACGUCGGAUCAAACAUGUGUGUCAAAGAUAAUUCAGAUUUAUUUCUGAAUUUGAUGCAGUCAAAAGAGCCAAUUAUGGCAUUUAUGAUGUCCCUUAAAGGGUAUUACCCGCAUGGCGGGAAAAGUCUGGGAAGAAUGCCUGCGUAACCGGGUAAAGUUGACAUUGUAUUAUGUCAACAAUCCGUGUAUGGCGGGAGAAAUUUUGGCAAAACCCUUAUCAUGUAUGACAGGAGAAAGUUAUGAUGACUCAUGUGCGGUUAAUGUGUCCCACUAUGGGAGAAAAGUAUGGAGUAGCUAUGAAGCUUUCCUAGUAUCGACCGUACACCUUAUGUGUAACGGUCAUUAUGCAAUCACUAAAUCCAGAAAGGAUAAAAGUAACAGACGAACCUAAAGACAAGAAUGAUAUGCAAGUGUGACUUGCAAAAGAGAUAAUGAUAAAGAACUCUGUUGAGUUUCUGAAAUGAAAUGAGGAAAAAGUACUCCCAUACUAGCUAACUUAUAACUUCAUUUUACAUGAAGUGAUAAGAUGAAUGAGCUAGAUAAUCGAAGUUUCCUCAUUUCACAAGAGCUAUGAAUGGGUUUCGAAAUUGUGGCAGAAAAGUUCUUGCCACAUUUCGAGGGGGAGAAAGAGACACGAAAUACAUUGUAGUGUAUUUCAUGACUCCUCUGUACUUUAGAUGAUGUAAUGCACAUUAUGCAUCUAAAGUGAUCCAUUAAUGAAGAAUUUGAUUGUCAAGGGGAGUACGACAGUCAUCUGAAUACCGUCAUUAUGAUACCCCUAAAGAAAAGAAACAGUUGUAUUUUCUGAUCUUUUAUUGUUCCGAAAGCAGACUAAGGAAUACAACGGUGGUGCUUAAAGUGUCAUAAAGAAGGAAGUUUAAAAAUACGCCAUUUCUUCAGUGAAGAUGGAGUAAUCUGGGGGAGCAUGUUGUAUGACCUAUACAACACCUGUUGUUAGCUCUACAAGGGAUCUUGUGAUACAGGUCCCUGUAAAACCUAUUGCUUUUUGGAAAUGGGUGACUAUAGAAUGAAUUUGCCUCUUGGCAAUGACAGAGCAACGACAACCCCAUAUGAAAUAAGUGCCAGUACCUGAGAUUUUGAUGGUCUCUAGGAAUGUGAAAAUCAGAUUCUUGUGACUACUAUAAAGUCUAUGUUGGUGAGAUUCCAUCAUUUGAAUUUCACUAACAUAGACUUUAUGAAGGGUCUACAAGGCAAAUGUGACUCCAAAGAAAAUAUGUAAAUGUGUGAAACAUGACUUAAAUCGAAAGAUUUUGUGCAAAGAAAAUGAGAGGACAAUUGCAUUCUUGCAAAGUUAUAGAAUGGGCAAUUCGUUUCCCAAUUCCUAUGCAUGUGGAUGAUGUCCUACUUGCUAGUGGUGAUGUCAAUCUACUGCAGGAGGAGAAAAGAAGUUCUUGUCCUCAAAGUUCAAAAGAAUAAAAGGGGGUAUUAGGAAUGUCGCAUGGACAUGCUAACAAAGAUAUCUAAAGCAUGCAUACGAGAAAACCUACGCCUGUUCUUAUAGUCAAGGGUAAUGGAAGUGGAAACUAUGGUGUUCCAAAAGUUAAUAAGAAAAGAUUGCAAACGGAUAUGGUACCAUAUGCUUCAGUUGUUGGAAGCUCAAGAUAUUACCUUGACACAAUUCACGUAUAUAUCCGGGUUGUUUUGGCAAUGUCCAGUCCAUAGAUAAAUCAAUGGAAUGGAUUCAAAGAUAUCGGCCUCAUGCUGAAAGAAAUAAAUGCUCUCAAAACAUUGUGAGUACAAAGGAGGACUUGUGAAAUGUAUAGCGAAAUCCACAAUUGUCGCUAACUUUCAUACUCGGAGUUUUGUGUGGAAAAUCUCCAAAUGAGUAAAAUGAUUGUCAUCAAUGUGAUGCAAUGAUAUGUUAUAGCUUGAUAUGAGGCUGAGGGACGGGCAACAUGGUUCAGGCUACCUAUACCCGGAGUGGAUAAUGGUUGACAACGACGAUUACCGUUUUAAGUUCUUUCGCUCCUGUCACAACGAGUCAAGUGUUGAUGCCAAACACACUGACAAAGAGUUACGUGUUGUGAAGGACAAAGUCCGGAAUUAUGGAAAAAUGCUUGAAGCAUAAAAGCAACAAACAAGUGUUUGAAGAUCUGCUUAUCAAAGGCUUACCGCCCAGUGUGUUCGGAGAACACACAGUCGACAUGGGUUUUAUGGUAUAGUCUAAUAUUUCCGGACAAUAAAGGGCCCAAGGUUAAAGAAUCUGUCUCAAAACAGAGAGGUACAUUGUGGCUGUCUGAUUCCAUCGGCAAUUGAGCCGUGACGAUGAAACAUGCCCUAUGUAUUGAUCUGUUACAAAACGGGUAAAAGUAUAUGAUGAGAUCAAGGGGGAGAAUGUUAGAUUGAUCUCUUUCCCAAUGGGCCCAAUGGCCCAUUGGACCUUGACUCACGCCCUGAUUGGGGGCGUCCAGCCCAAGCAAGGCUGGUGGGCCCCUGUCGUGCAGUGCUGUUUAUAGAGGAGGUGGGGACCAUGGCACAGACUACGAGGUUCGCCGCCGCCACUGGUUCCCCACUCUCUAACCCUAAUCCGAUCUAGAGGGAUGCACUGAAGCGACGGGAAGUCCAUCACCGCCACUACCAGAUCUCUCUCCUUCCCCACCGUCGUCACCACCUCACGACGGUCACCGGAGGGAACUCAUCGAGUUCAUCACAAGGUAAUGAUCUAUUACUAUUACCGAACACAUCUAGCCUUGACGAUCCACGGGAUCUAUCAAUAACAACAAUGUAUUUUUGUAUAAAUAAAUACACAUCUAAUUAAAAUUCAUAAUUACCAAUGCAAUUUAGGCCUUAUGCCUUAAGGACUUGCGAUACUUAAUAUAUAGCCUAUGCGGGACACACAUAUUAUCUGGCAAGAGUCCAUAUGGUAAACCAUAUCCGAAGCCCGCAAAAAAAGAAGUCCAACUCAAAAACGGCAACGUUGUCCAAUCCAUGAUAACUUCAUGAUGUCAUCGAUUGCAUUAUCCUACAUUAAGUUUUCCUUAAUCAUAUACAAGAAUAUGUUCUAUGUAUGAUAAUUUAGUCUAUGUAGAUUAACAUGAUAGGUUAACUGUCUGCAUUUGUUUUAAUAAUAUGCUAAAGCUAGAACAAGAUGAUGGUCUAUAUGAACUAUUGUGUACUCCUAUAAAUACUGUUAAGUGUGUACAUGGACUAUAUUGGAUAUACUCUUAACUGUGAACACUUGAUACUUGAGAAAAUAGCAGCAUCCGGUCAAACUAAAUGUGUUCGUUCGUGACGGUGUAGCUGAGGCAAUCGCUGGUGGCAUCAAAAGUCCAAGUCAGUGCAAUAUAUUUUAGACACGCAACGUACGUCCGAAUAUGUAUAACUAAAUGUGUGGCUGAGGUCGUCUACAGUUGAUCGAAAACGAAAUAAGAUGAACAAAGUCCAUGCCAUGAGCGAUAAUUCAAAGAGCAAUCCGUUGAAUCGAUAUGCGAGAGGCAAACAUCGUGUAGAAACGACUGGAUGCAUGCGUCUCUGUGUGUGGUCGAGGUUGGGAGACGUAUAAUGCGUGUGGCCCUUGAAUAAAACAGUGUGUGGUGACGCUAAACGUCUUACCGAAAUAAAUGUUCGUUAGGAAAUAUCAGGUUUGAUGUGGCCAGGAGCUGCGCCGGUCUAACUUCUUCAACCUGAACGCUAUCGCUAAUUUCUUCAGCCUGAAGGAACCUGUUUUAACUAGCUGUGUGUGAUUACGUGUGUGACUGGGACAGGAGGCGACUAAUGCAACAUCGCUGCAGGCCGGCCGAUUAAAACAAAAAUCAGUCAAAGUCAACUAGUGCAACUUGUCCAAAGCUGAUGUUGCACUAAUAUAUUAUAACCCCAAGCAAUACAUGCCACAUGUCCUUUCCCAAGUUCGUUGCUCUCACUCAUCUUCAGUUCAUCUAGCUAGGCAUGGUUCCAUCUAUAUAUAUGAACACGCUACCAUGAACCAAGUGUUCAUCCAGCACACAAGCAAAAAAAAUGCCUCGUCUAGCCACACACAACCUGUUCUUGCGGCUUGUUUUCACCACGAUUCCUUUGCUAAUCCUACUUCCCUGCGUGCACUCCACUGAUCUGGAUGCACUUCUCUGCCUCAAGUCCCAGCUCUCCGACCCCUCACGAGCACUAGCUUCUUGGAGCAACGUGUCUCUCACGCCCUGCGAUUGGCAAGGAGUGAGAUGCAGCACGCUUAACGCGUCUCGCGUUGUUUCGUUAGACCUCGAGUCACUAAACCUCACCGGCCAAAUAUUUCCCUGCGUCACGGAGCUUGAUUUCCUAGACAGAAUCCACAUGCCAAAUAACCAUCUCAAUGGCCACAUCUCCCCCGACAUCGGCCGGUUGACCCGGCUCACAUACCUCAACCUUAGCAUGAACUCCCUGGAUGGUGCCAUCCCUGAUGCCAUAUCUUCUUGUUCCCAACUCGAGACCAUAAGCCUGGAGAGGAACUCCCUUGAAGGUGAGAUCCCGCAAGCUCUCGCUGAGUGUUUGCUUCUCCGGGAAAUUGUUCUCAGCAACAACAAUCUUCAGGGAAGCAUCCCAUCCAGGUUCGGUUUGCUUCCCAACCUUUCUGUGCUAUUGCUCACCAGCAACAUGCUCACUGGAAACAUUCCAGAGUUUUUGGGGACUAGCGGUUCUCUCACGUCGGUGAAUCUAAGAAAUAACAGCCUCGGUGGAGGAAUCCCUCCUGCCCUGUUCAAUAGCACGACCAUUUCCUACAUAGAUAUGUCACAUAAUAACCUUUCAGGAUCUAUCCCACCUUUCCUUCAAACCUCUGCACCACUGCAAUACCUUUCACUAACUAAAAACUACCUCUCUGGGGGUAUUCCUUCUUCAAUUGGAAACAUGUCUUCCCUGUCUUCCCUUCUGCUUGCUCAAAACAACUUUCAGGGAAGCAUUCCAGAGAGCUUAGGAAAGAUUUCAGGUUUGCAAGUACUGAACUUAAAAGAUAAUAAUUUUUCUGGCAUUGUCCCUCUAGAAAUUUACACAAACACUUCCCUUACUUAUCUUAGCCUUAGUCUCAACCAACUUGUUGGGAGAAUUCCCACGGACAUUGGCUUCACUCUUCCAAACAUGACAGAGCUGAUACUAGGAGGAAACCAAUUCGAUGGCCCGAUUCCCGCUUCAUUGGGCAACGCCUCAAACCUCAAAAAUUUAGACCUUCGUCAAAAUUCACUCACUGGUGUUAUUCCUCCAUUGGGACACUUGAGCAGGUUGAAAAUCUUAGAUGUGGGGACAAACAUGCUUAAAUCUGGAGAUUGGACUUUCUUGUCUUCUCUAACAAAUUGUACUAAACUAAAGAUGUUAUGUUUGGAUUUUAAUGGCCUUGGGGGGACAAUGCCUACCUCUUUUGGGGAUCUUUCAAACAGCCUAGAGGUGCUUCUGCUAUCUGACAACCAACUGACCGGUGAAAUACCAUCGGAGAUAGGAAAACUCAAAGGCCUAACAGCUCUUGUGAUGCAAAUUAAUUCACUCUCAGGACGCAUUCCUGAUACCCUUGGAAAUCUUGUGAAUAUGUCACUGCUAAGCUUAUCCCACAACAAACUUUCUGGAGAAAUCCCACAGUCGAUUGGGAAACUAGAGCGACUCACUGAACUUUAUCUCAUGGAAAAUAAUUUGACCGGUCAAAUACCUCCUAGUUUAGAAGGUUGUAAAAAUUUGUUGUUGCUGAACCUUUCUUCCAAUAAUUUAUACGGAAGCAUUCCAUCAGAACUCUUUUCCAUUUCAACACUUUCUAAAGGCUUGGAUCUUUCCUAUAACCGACUCAAUGGGAACAUACCUUCUCAGAUAGGUAGUUUGAUGAAUUUGAAUUCACUUAGUAUAUCCAACAACCAAUUAUCUGGUGAGAUUCCUUCCACACUCAGCCAAUGCCUUCUUUUGGAAUCACUCUCUUUGGAGGCAAAUUUGUUGCGAGGAGAAAUUCCAAAGUCUCUUGGGACUUUAAGAGGAAUCAAUAAGAUGGAUCUAUCUCAAAAUAACUUGUCCGGUGAAAUUCCAGAUUUUUUGGAGUCAUUAACCUCCCUAUAUUUUCUUAACUUAUCCUUCAAUAACUUUGAGGGACUAGUCCCGAAAGGCGGUGUUUUCGCCAAUUCAAGUGCAGUGUUCAUCCAAGGAAACAAAAAAAUAUGUGCAAGUUCUCCAAUGGAACAAGUGCCACUUUGCACCACAUUAGCUUCCAGAAGGAAGAAAACCACCCAUGUUGUAGCUAUUGUGGUUCCACUUACUACUAUUGUUAUAAUCUCCCUGGCAUGUCUUGCAUUCAUUCUUCUGAAAAAGAAAGGUAUAGAAACAGAGGGACACGUCACCGCGUCGUUCAGGGAGCAUAACAGAUACUCAUACAUGGAUUUAUAUAAAGCAACAGAUGGUUUCUGUUCAGCUAGUUUUGUCGGUUCGGGAAGCUUUGGUAUGGUAUACAGAGGCCAUUCAGAAUUUCAAGACAUUGCCAUUAAGGUGUUCAGGCUUGACCAAUUUGGAGCAUCAAAGAGUUUCUUCGCUGAGUGUGAUGCACUAAGAAACAUUCGUCACCGGAAUCUUAUUAGGGUGAUUAGUUUAUGCUCAACCACUGAUCCAAGAGGAAAUGAAUUCAAAGCACUUAUUCUUGAGUACAUGGAACAUGGUAACCUAGAAAGUUGGCUCUAUCCAAAAGCUAACAAAGCCAACCCGAAAGCAUCACUAGGUUUGGGCUCAAGGAUAACAAUAGCUAUGGACAUAGCUGCUGCAUUAGAUUAUCUCCAUAAUCGAUGCAGCCCUCCUUUGGUUCAUUGUGAUUUAAAACCACGCAAUGUCCUUCUGGGUGAAGAAAUGGUUGCAUGUCUUAGUGACUUUGGACUCGCAAAAUUUCUUCGUGCAAACUCUUCAACGGGGAUUAGUAAGUCAUCAACUAUUGCUGGACCGAGAGGAUCGGUUGGAUAUAUCGCACCUGGUGAGCCAUGCAUCAUUUCUAUUAUAUAUUUAUAUAUGAUAUGUAUUAUAUAUAGAUACAUGUGUACAAAGUUAGUGUCAUGUAAAAGCAUCUAGAAUGUUUGUCAUACCUCAACAAGUGAAUAUUUCUCAAGAACUUUUUGUGUAACAUUGCAGAAUAUGGCAUGGGUUGCAAGAUCUCAACAGAGGGUGAUAUCUAUAGCUACGGAAUUAUUCUUUUAGAGAUGAUCACAGGAAAGCAUCCAACAGAUGAUAUGUUUCAGGACGGUAUGAACCUUCAUAACUUCGUGGAAGCAGCACUUUCACAGGAAAUUGGUGAGAUCUUAGAACCAAGUCUUAUGACAUAUGAUGGAGAAGGAGGAGAAAUUCUUCCAGUGGCUGAAACAAAAUGGUGUGUCACUAGACUAGCUAAACUUGGUCUAAAGUGUUCUGAUAUGUCAGCAAAAAGUCGGCCGACAACAGAGGAUGUUUAUGCUGAAAUCAUCAGCAUCGAAGAAAAUUUUACAGCAUUGCACCAUAGACAAAAUAAAUCGACAUCAUCGUUGUAACUCACCUCUAGCUAUUUCAGUUAGAACUAGCCUCGUCAUAUAGUUUUUUGAAAGAAACAAGUAUUAUGUUUGAAUGCAUAUAAGAUUAGCAUAUUGAUUUACAAAGGGAUUAACUUGCAUUGAGUAGUAACUGAGAACACAUGUGAUCCAGCAAUAGUGUGACGUGACUCUAGUUUAUCUACUGUAUAUUUUGGUAUGUAAUCAGCAUGAUUGCGCACAAAAUCUUUGUGUCCCUGUUGUAACAAGCAUGCAAUUAUCUAGUUUUAACAACACUGAUCCGACCCUUUUACUGGUGGUUUAAUAUCGACAUAGGCUCUGGUGAUGAUCUCAAAUGUUUGGAGCAGGAGGUAUAUAGUCUAAAAUCCACAGUUACUAAAUAUACAAGAUUACCAUUUCUUAAUAAAUUGUUUUUAAAAUGCUUCGACAAGCAGACCGUUAAAUUUUCGAAACCUCAUGAAUCUGAAAAAGUUCACGAAUGAAAAAGAUAGAAAAAUGCUUCGACAAGCAGACCGUUAAAUGCUCUGGUGAUGAUCUGAAAUUUGAAAAAGAUAGAAAAGAAAAAAAAUGAAAAAAAAGACCAAACGAACACAUAGAAAAACCAGCAAAAAACAAACACUAAAAAUACACCUGGGAGCAUCUGAAAACCGAACAAUUCAACAAUCAGUGAAGCUAUUCCCAUAAGUCUUACAUGAGCGACCUGUGAAGUGGGAGGUCCUAUUGAACGCAUUCUGCAUUCAAUAGUUGCCGCUUCGCACAGAGGUGUCUACUGGCGGGCUUUUCUGGGCCCGUGCGUUUCUUCGGUUCAUCUCUUUCGCUGCGUUUUCUCUCGGGAGCCCCUAUACGCCGCAAUCUGCGGCAGGAUGGCCGGGUUUCGCACAGGCAGCCCUCCGCCUGGGCCGGCCCACUGACCGUGCUUGUGUUGUUUCCCUAUCACGCGGCAAAAAAGAAGAAAAGAAUCGAGAGAAAACCGUGCUUGUGAUCCUAAGACCUUGCGCAGCGCAGGUCACUAACAACAACCUGUUAGCCAACAAACCAAUAUCAGCUUCUUUUCAUAAAAGGCACAGAAUAAUAUAAAAACAUAUAGCGGGGGUUGAGAUUUCGAUUUAUUUUUUUAUUUAAAAUCAGGAACAGUUUUGUAAUGGCGCAAUUAUUCAAAACUCCAACCUUUUUUUCGAAAAAAUGUACCCAAAAUUUUGUGUCUCAUUUUUCGAUAGUUGAAAAAGUUCAGAAAUCAAAAUUGUUUAAAAAUUAUUCUCACUCUAACAAAUUGUUCAGAAAUCAAAAGUGUUUGAAAAUAUGUUCGGUGUUUACAAACAAUGUUCACCAAUUUUAAAAAGUGUUUGUGUUUUCAAAGUAUUCCCAAUUUAAAAAACUCUUGCAUUCAAAAAAACCAUUCAUAACUUCAAAAAAUGUGCGAGAUUUUCAAAAAAUGUUCUUGUUAAUGCAAGGAGAAUUUUCUGAAUGCGAACACUUUUGUGAUAAAGGGAACAUUUUUUAAACUCCAAUUCACACGAACAAGUAGAACUUGAAAACAUUUUUUGAAUCUUGAGAACAAAUUUUGAAACCGAGAACAUUUCUGAAUAAUCCUGAACAAAUUUGAUAGCGUGAAAAAAAUAAAAGCACGGACAUUUUUUGAAUCUUUGGAACAAAAAUUGAAAACAAGAAUAAUUUUGAAAUGUUGUGAACAAAUUUGGAAGCGCGAACUAUUUUUUAAAACCAGGAACCUUUUUUCUAAUUUCCGAACAUUUUCUGAAAAAUAUGAAACAUUUUGAUUAGAAUUCCAGAACAUUUUUCAAAUUCCGGAACAUUUUCUCAAAUUCUGGAACAUUUUUUCAAAAUUCUGGAACUUUUUCUGAAAUUCCAUAAAAAUAUGUCAAUUUUCAGAACAUUUUUCAAAUACCGGAAACAUUUCGUCAAAUUCCAGAACAUUUUUAUCAAAUUUCGGAACAUUUUUUGAAAAUUCAGAACAUUUUUGAAAUAGAAACUGAAAAAAAGAAACAAAAAAGAAAAAAGAAAAAAGGAAACGAAAAAAGAAAAACCGGUUGAGGGAAUCUUCUAGAAAGUUCCAAAACCAUAAAAACCGGCUAAAAAAGUCUAAAAUGUUUCCAAAACCGAUAAAAACCAGUUAGAAAUCUUUGAAAAGUUCCUAAAACCGGAAUCGCUGCUACAGGCCGGCCCAACUUAGCGCUUCGAUCAACAGCCCCUUAUGCGAAAGGUCGAUAAUUUGACACAAUAUACGUCAAAUAGGAUAAUAAGAAACCAGGUGCCGAGUAAGAAAUCACCGCAAGCUUCACAUAUUUCAGUAGAUUAGUCUUACAACGACAAAACAAUGGGCCGACCCGAGUUUAGAGCUAGCGCUAAACGUUUCAGUAGAUUACUUUUCGCGGAAAAGAAAACCUACAUUAUAUUCAAUUUUAGUUUGUACUGUUUUAUGAUUUUUAUAUUUACUUCUUAUAUUGCUUUUUUGUUUUUAUUUCGGUUUUAAAGAUUUUUAAACCAUGUUCUUGGUUUCUUUACAACUAACUUACUUUUUCUACAGGUUAUUUCCUUCCUUUUCCCUUUUACGUUUUUAUACAGGUUCAACGUCAUUUCGUACCUAAUGAACGUUUUUUCUGUAUAUGUCAAACAUUUUUAGUGUAUGUCAGACAAUUUUUAAUACAUGCUGAACAUUAUUUUUGACCGCACACUAGAUUUUAUUUUACAGUAUACAACAAUGACGACAACACCAAGGCCUUUCAGUCUCAAACGAUUUAGAGUGGGUGAGAGUCGAAUAUCCUUAUAAUUUUGAAAUACAUUCAAUUUUUUUUAACGGUAUAGUGAAUAUUUUGCAAAUACAUGCUGAAUAUCUUAAAAAGAUAAUCUCAUUUAUUACUACUUUUUAAAUCUUGUUUUUUCACUAUGAAACAUAAACCCAAAAAAGGGAGGCAAAACGAAUAGAACGAAAAAAACACUCGAUACAAGAACCGAAAUCAGCUCGUCUUAGGCCCUGUUUGGAACCACCCAGAUUAUAUAAUCCAGUUCUUAUAAUCUAUUAUGUCUCCAAACAGGACAGAUUAUGGUGUAGAUUAUAAAAAUUAGAUAGACAGAUUAUUAAAAACUCAUAAUCUACUCUACACCAGCUAAAAUCAGAUUAUGGAUUGCUAAUGACCCAUUACCUUUGUAAAGUUUGAGAUAAUUACAUUCCUACCACCGCCACCCUCCUUUUUUUUAAAAUAAAACAGAGGGCGGACAUGUCAUUAUGCAAUGUAGAACCUGGAUUACAGUUUAUAUAAUCUGGCCUUCAAACAUGUCUACCUGAAUUAUUUUUAUAAACCAGAUUAUAUAAUCUACCUUCAUAAUCCAGAUUAUCAUAAUCUAUUGUGGUUCCAAACAGGGUCUUAUUGGAGCUUGAAAGGUAUACAUCUCAUUUAUUACUAUCCUUGUCUAAAAAAAAACCCUGGAAACUAUCCUAACUAAGCUGACUCCCGUCUGCUGCCUUAAGAGGAAACAAAGCUGGCAAGUUAUAAUCACACAAAAACAUUUUUUUUAAAAGAAAUAUAUUAAUAUCGCGAAGAUAUCAAUUAUACACAACCUUUGUACCAAUAAAAUGUCUUAAAGACAUCCAAGAUACACACAAUCAGAAAAGAAAAAAAUAAUUAAAAAACAAAAAAUAAAGGCCUCGUCACAGUGAACGACUCCUCUCAGCAGCAACACACAAACCACCAUCAAAGACAACACCCGGAAAACAUAAAAGGUCUCCAAAAAGAACGUCCACAAGAAGGAAGCAGAAGCACCGUCGUCGCCCGAUCUAAGAUCUUAGGUUUUCACCCUGGAAAAAGUUUGAGCUCUCAAAACAAUACAUUCAACGAAGCAAUUGCCAGACACAACCAAUGAACAUCAUACUCCCUCCGUCUCGGUGAAUAAGUCAUCUUACGAAAACCAAAUAAUCCCAAAACACUUAGGCAUGAUGCAUUAACUUUCACCUCGUUUCUUGUUUUUUGACAUGAAUAAAGGAAUCAACCAAUAAGAGACGUGAGGCAUGUAUGUUUUUAAUGACUUGAGACUAACUAGCACAACAUGCAUUGAUCAAUACAUUGCAUGCAAUGAUAUUAAUUAGCAAAUUAUUGUCGUGAUGCGACGAGAGCAAUGUUUUUAAUGUCUAGGGCCAGAUCAAGGAGGACCGGUCAUGCAGAUUAUUGUCGUGAUGCGACGAGAGCANNNNNNNNNNNNNNNNNNNNNNNNNNNNNNNNNNNNNNNNNNNNNNNNNNNNNNNNNNNNNNNNNNNNNNNNNNNNNNNNNNNNNNNNNNNNNNNNNNNNNNNNNNNNNNNNNNGUGAUGCGACGAGAGCACUAGUACCGCCACCACACCGUUGCCUCCUCCCAUGCCGACACCAUCGCCGCCAUGGCGGAGGACACCGGCCCACGCUACACACAUACCGCGGACGCCAGAUCAGAUGGAUCCCGUUCCGUCGCCAUCUCCUCGUCUGCAUAAUCCUCCACCUCGAAGCCCGUCGUGCGUCGUCGAUCCUGAACGACGCCGUCAUGGGGAUACACCGGCACACCACUGUGACCCUCGCCAUCGCGGUAUCGCGGCCUAGCCCCUUGGCACCCGCCGCCGCCGACGCCGGCCAUGCUUUGCCCGACCGCAUCCUUUGGCGGCGGUGAGAGGGAGGAAGGAAGAGAAGGUGUUGGUGGCGGCGGCUGCGGCACCCCCCCCCCCCCCNNNNNNNNNNNNNNNNNNNNNNNNNNNNNNNNNNNNNNNNNNNNNNNNNNNNNNNNNNNNNNNNNNNNNNNNNNNNNNNNNNNNNNNNNNNNNNNNNNNNNNNNNNNNNNNNNNNNNNNNNNNNNCCCCCCCCCCCUCGUCGUCCACGGGAGGGACAUGGGAGGUUCCAGAUGCGAUGUGGAGAACCUCAGGAAACGCACAUUACGGGAUUACGGGGAAGUUAUGCCAAAAAUAUAUUUGUGUCCCUGUUGCAACGCGAAUGUAAUUAUCUAGCUUUACCUAAAAAUGAAUAGUGAACGGACCCUUUUACUGGUAACUGAAUACCGACAUAAGCUCUGGUGAUGACUCAAAUGUUUUAAACACAAUGUACAUAGGCUGAAAUUCAAUGUUAUUGGGCACAUGCAUCACGUAGCCGAGAGGUCUUGUUCCAUGCAUAAGACUUUGGAAAGCAAUCAUACGUGGUUUGGCUCCUUUAUCAAUUUGGACAUUUUCCGUCGCCGUAGUGGGUCAGCAUAGGCUCGGCCGCCACCGGUUUUGAGCCUUAUUUUCAGAAUUUGUUGUGUACAAGAUUUUUCAAAAUCGUAAAAAAAUUCUUCUAAUUUCAAGAAGUCCAUGAAACUAAAAAUCUUGGUGAAUUCAAAAGGUUCAUAAAUUUAGGAAAUAUUUUAGAAUUUUGGGAUAUCGUCGUAAUAGAUAGACUUUGGCAAGGUUUCAUUUUUUGGCAAUAGCAUAUGUCAUGCACUAUAGAAGUGUGGAAUUAUACGAGUACUAGCUUUCUUUUUCUUCUCGUAAAGACGUUUUUAGCUUUUGAUUUUUCUGGUGCACUAGAGGUGUUGGCGAGUUGCGUUGCGGAGUGAGGGAUUCAUGAAUGAAAAAGAAAAAGAAAACANNNNNNNNNNNNNNNNNNNNNNNNNNNNNNNNNNNNNNNNNNNNNNNNNNNNNNNNNNNNNNNNNNNNNNNNNNNNNNNNNNNNNNNNNNNNNNNNNNNNNNNNNNNNNNNNNNNNNNNNNNNNNNNNNNNNNNNNNNNNNNNNNNNNNNNNNNNNNNNNNNNNNNNNNNNNNNNNNNNNNCUCCUAGUAGAGACUUUGGUAAGGUUUCCAGGUUUCUAGCAAAAGCGCAGUGCACUACAGAAAAAAAAAAUAGAGUAGUAAAAUGGGACCAUUGAGAAUAGAGUUUGAAUUAUAUGGACAUCUAAAGGAAGGAAAGAAAUGAUCAUUGGAUGUAUCUAGUAAUGUUUUAUAGUGACCGUGACCGACUUAUUUACGUUUUAACACACAAAAGUUUCUCGGAAGUCUUGCAAGAAUAGAACUGUUCGACUCACUAUCUAACAGAAUGUAAAAUAUCCUCAUAAUUCACAUCAACGUGACAAAAUGUGUGGUAACAAUGUAGUAUAUAGCUUAUGUUCUUGCUUAUGCAAUGUAGUACAUAUUUUUCAAACAGGACAAAGUUUGUGGGCGGGAAUAGAGGUUCUUACCUUGACUUUUCUUUCUAGUACGAUACAUGAUGAUGAUUAUUGACUUAUGAGAGAAAGGGACAUAGUUGAGUUGUGAUGUGGGGAUCACUUGUCGUGCCACGAUGUGAUUAGCUUGAGUUUCAGUUCCAGGCAAUAAGGUGUAGUAAUGGUUUGUGGAAAUUAGGGACGUGCCUAGCAAUCAGCCCCAUUUGAAGAAGGUGACUGAAGUGACACGAGGGAACUAAAUUUUAGAACCAGAAUUAGAAUGGUGAUAUGAUGUGCAGCGAUGGCGUUGCGGCACUUUGGUCACAUGUACUCCCUCCGUCUCGGUUUAUAAAUCAUUUUCGAUUGUGCACCGCGACCAAGACAGAGAGGAAACGAGAGAAAUUAAUAUUAAUUUGCUAAGUAAUACCAUUGCAUGCACUGAAUUGACCACUGCAUGUCGUGCUAGUUAGUCUUAAGUCAUUAAAAACAUGCACACACCGUGUCUUUUAUUGAUUGAUUUCUUUAUUCAUGUCAAAAAACAAGAAAUGAGGUGGAAAUUAAUGUAACACGCCUAAGUAUUCUGGGACUAUUUAAUUUUCGUAAGAUGUCUUAUAAACCGAGACAGAGGGAGUACUAUAUAUGGUCACAUUCUCUUUCACAACCACGAUCUCCACCAUCUACUACUAUGGCUAUAUCCUUUAUUACCCAGCUACCACUUUACUUAUCUCUCUUGAAGCAUGCCCAACAUUUUGCUAUAUUGCUAUAUAUGGUCAUAUCGUACCACGGAAACAUAUCAUUUUGAAUGGAAGAGCAACCUCCGGCAGAUUUUUUAUUUGGAUAGCUAUAUAUAUAUCACAGUGGUUAGUCAAAAUUGCUGAAGAGACGUGCUACAUUUCAAAAAAAAAAUAUGGCUGAUUUGUUGUCUCUUUUGCCCUCCUCCAUUUCCUUUCCAACCAACACCACCUUCUUGCAAUCCACUGCUAAGGUCCACACAUGGAGAAGAUCGACCCCGUUGUUACCGCAUGGAAGUAAUUCAUACCAUAUAUGUUACCUGUCGGCGAACAACCAGUCAUUCCUCGUUGCUUUGAGAUUCGGAUUGCUUGCCCUCAUCUAAAUGGGUUCAACUUAAUUUAUUUUCGGUGUGUCCUCCAUUUAGUUUGUUUUGCUGCAAGACAUAUCGCGUUCUCAUGAAUGGGAAUCGACCAACAGUGAGGGAGUGAAGACGAACAAAUAGCCCAGUGCACGUUGUAGCGCCAUCACUUCUAAAAAGUUGUACUAUCUGGCCUUCUGUGAGAAAGGGUCAUUCGAGCGUUCGUCCUGAUGAGCCGAUGCUACAACGUUGUACGUGUUUGGUUUUCAAAAGCUUCUACAUACAUUGGACAUCCGUUUUGUGAAGGUUAAGACAAGGUAUUUUUCUUCUCUAUUAUUUCUAUCUUGUUAUCAGCUUUCUUAAGGUUUUUUCUUUUAUCUUCUUAUUUUCAUUUAUAAUUGUUUCUCUUUUUGACUUACAUUUUUUUUUACAAAUUCAUGAACUUUUUUUAUCCUCUGGGUUUCAGUGUACAAAUAUUUUAUUGCAUGUCAUAAAUUAUUUUUUAAAAUUGGACUAAUUUAUAUUACAUUCAUGAACACUUUUUAAUAACGUGUGAAUUUUCUUAAAUGCUAUGAAUAUAUUUUUAAAUGACACAACUAACUUUAAUAUGUUACAAGCGACUUCAAACAAUCGCGCGGACAAAUUUUUACAUUUCAUGAACAUUUUUCAGAUGUCUUUACCAUAAUUUUUAACGGAUGAAAAUUUAUUUAAAUGUCACGAACAAUUUCUUAAGUGGUACACAUAUGUUUUCAAAUUACCCGAACAAUUACUUACUUUUCAUGAACAUGUUUCUAAAUGUGUGAACAUCUUCUCGAUGUCACGAACAGGCAAAUUAGCCCUAGACAAAUCCAGCAAGCAACAAUCAUGGACAAAGCAGGAUGACAGUGAAAUGCUAUGGUAUAUCACAUACUAUAGCGUAGAAUGGAAGCUCUUCAUCAGAGCGUACAGGUAAACGACAGCAACACAUCCAUGCUUCGUUAGGUCGAUAGGUUCGGUACCGAGUGACCAGGCAAACUACCAUAUUACCGCAGAUACUAAUGGUUACACUGAAUAGAUUACUAGGUAGUACACAUCACACGACAUGCAUGUCCGUCUCUUUAUUUAGAACAGCAACAAAGCUAGAAGGAAGCAGAGGCGCCCCUGCAGCAGGUACAGUACUGCGUAGUACUCUCCAUCAUGUUGCUAUGCUCAGCUCGAGAUGCUGUGCACCUGGCCAGUGAAAUUACGAAACUGUAUCAAGAUCAAUGGCAUUUCAAGUUGAGACAAGGAACAACGGAAGUGCAAACAUUUGAGGAGCGAGCAGAAAAUUUAUUAAUUAGUACUAUUUUAUCGAUAUCUACCAACGUGUGGCGGUUUAGUACAAGAGUAGCAUUGGUGGUUGGUGAUGAGUGAUGACUGGGGCCGGACAACAAUUAUACUUUCAGUUGAUAGCAAACAUGCAUGCAGACAGAACCUACUUGACUACUACUCGCUCCGUUUUUAAAUAUAAGUCUUUUUAGAGAUUUCAUCAGGAAAUUACAUACGGAUGUAUAUAGACAUACUUCAAAGUAUAGAUUCAUUCAUUUUACUUUGCAUGUAGUCAUUUAGUGAAAUCUCUAAAAAAGACUUAUAUUUAAAAACGGAGGGAGUACUCGCAGAACAUUACUUGCAUCAUCAUCUUCUACCAAUUUGUUGGUACAAACAAAACACGAUGUUCAGACUUGAGAUACACUACUUUUGAAGAAGCCUACUGUUGAUGUUGAGCUUAGUUUAAUUAAUUAAUGUUGGUUACCUGAGUAAGUGGGCGAUGCUCCGUUACUCUGCAGCCACCAUGUUGCUGGGCUUGGGGUUCGUCCUCCACAGCGACAGUGCAGCACGGACGUAGACGAGGGCUUCACCCACGAAAAUGAAGAAGAGAGCCACGCGGCCGACAAGAUCGAACAACUCUGGAUAUCCAUACUUGUAUAAAGCGAAACAGAUGGUUCCCGUCAACGUCGCCAGAAGCAGAAGAAACUGAAGACACAAGGAAAACUCAUCAUCGCCGGAAGGUCGCUCCUCCACAUCCUCUGCGUCCGCAGCCUAUCACAUUUGAGGAUCAUCAUCAUCAUCAUCAUGACUCAUGAGAAGCAGAACCAUGGUACAGACUACAGAGAGGCAUGCAUGGAACGGAGAGGCGUGGAGAAGAGUGAGUACAUACCUUGCUGCUGCUGCCGGCGCCGCGGAGGAAGAAGAAGAGCAUGAUCGCCAGUGGCAAGAGAAGCGGGACGAGUAUGGCUAGAUAGCCAGGUAUCAGCGACAUGACGUUGGCCACGGCACAGCCCCAGCCGUCGGCGCAGGCCCGGUCCGCGACAAAGGCGAGGAGAACGGCCACGGCGAGCGCGUAGAAGGUUACCUUCGUAGCCAGCUCUUCUUCUUGAGUCAUCGCCAUUUGGGUGUGGAGUGAAGUGGUCUGGUCGGUGAGUCGGUGAGGCUUCUAGCUGGUGUUAUGGCCUGGGGGUCUUGUGGGCUUUUAUAGUGAGCUCCAAGCUGUAGCGUUGGAUUCUUGCACGUAAUCAAAAUUUAAAGCAGGAAUUUCGCAUGAUCUUUAUAUAAGAAUCCAAUUAUUUCAUGUGUCCUCCUUAUGCAUUUUUUGCAGUCACCACUGAUCUUAUAUUCUUCUGUAGGAACGUAACAACUUUCUCAUCAUGUUUGAAUGGCCGGUAGUCCAAGUGUGUGGAAUUAAACCAGUGCUGGCAUUCCUUUCUAUGGAAAAUUAGCGUAACAUUUUGCUGCCACGGUGAUGGACCAAUCAUUCAGUGCUAUAUAUAGCCUAUAGGUGGUUGUUGUCGAGUACUGGCAAUGUCGAGUGAAAAAGACAAAGACACAUUGUUGUCUAAUCAUUUCUUGUGCCAUUUUAGGAUACCCUCCUAGUAGAGACUUUGGGAAGGUUUCGGUUUGUCAGCGGUAGUGUGGUGCACUACAAAAAAAAGCAGAGUCGUAAAAGGUGGCCAUUGAGAAUAGUCUGAAUUAUAUCGACAUCUUAAUUAAUGAAGGAAAUAAAUUUUCAUUAAAGGUACCGGUAGUGUUAAUUUCAUAGUGACCAUGAACUAUUUACUUACAUUUUAAAACACAAAAGUUUCUCCUAACUCUUCUGAGAAUAGCAACAUUAAUCUUCAAAACUAAUCCUAUCCAUCAGAAUCUAUGUUGUUACGUAUGAUAUUUCAAAUCAAUGGAACAAAGUGUGUUGUAGCAGUGUACCAUAUAGCUUGUGAGCAAAGAGAGCCUUGGCUCAGUGGUUGGACAUGCGGUUGUGCAGCCCAACGACCCGAGUUCAAUUCCUAGAACUGAUAGGUGAUGCACAUGGAGUUUUCUUCCAUUUAUUGAGGAUCAAGUUUGGCGUGUGGUAAAACCACUCAUUAAAAAAAUCUUGAUACUCAUUUAAAGAAAUUAUGAGGACCAUGUUUAUCUUGGUACUCAUACUAAAAUGGCCGUAUGCAUCCCUUGUUGGUGCAGAGGCCAGUGAAAAUCUCUCCCAAUUUUUAAAGAACAGCAUCCGCACAUCUCUCCCCAGCCCCUGCCGAACACCCCUCGCGUCGCCCCCGCCCUGGGCGACUCGGGGGCUCCCAAGCCCCAGGCGCCGCCGCCGCUCUCUCAUCCUCCCCUCCUCGCCGCCGCCGGGUGACGCCGCCGGUAAACCACGUGUGGCAGACGGCGGCGGCGGGGGACUCCCUCUCCCGGCUCCCCUUCCUCCGCGGGCGGCGGAUCUAGGUGGUUGAUGGCGGUGGCUUGUGUCAAUCGCGAUCGGGCGCGAGGGGGCAGGCCUCGGCGAGCAGUGGUGGGGAGUGGGGCGCACGGCGGCGGCCCGCGGCAGGUGCUCCGGCGGGUGCAGGCGGUGGUGGCCCCUGUACGCGGUCGGUGGAUCCCUCUUUGACCUGGACGGUGCUGGGGGUGGCGGCGGUUGCGGCGGCGGUCCUCGCUGGAUGCUGGUGGCCAUGGUGUUGCUUCUAGUUGACCCCGAUCUACUCCGAUCUGCAGCGGAUCCGGCCCCAGAUGGUUUUUCGCUGUUCUUGGGUGCUGGCCCUGCAGAUCCGGUGGUUGGAAGGGUUCCGGGGGAGUCCCUUGGCCGGUGCGGCGGCCACUCCGAAGGGAGCGCCUUUGGGUGUUGUUCCCCUUGUUGGAGGCUUUGGAGAGGAUCCCCUUCCUUCCACCCCUCCCAGGAGCUCAGGUGAAAACCUCAGAUCCCCUUGGUCCAAGCGACGACGACACCGCGGUGGCGUGUUCCUUCCUGAAGGCGUUGCUCGGGGGCUGCUCAAGCGGUGGUGGAGGUGGCGGCGGGUCGAUGUCGGCGCAUUUUGGCCUGCUACAUCUUGGAGGCUGUGACGUUGGCGGCGCUCGUCUGGUGGAGCAACGGCAUUGUUGUUUGCGUCAUCAGGCUUUGGAUGCUCCGGGGGAAACCCUAGAUCUGGGUCUUCCUGGAUCGGACGAUGAUGGCGUUUUAUCGCCCUCCCUCCUGGGGGCAUCGUUUUGGAGCAAGUGUUGGCUGGAGGAAUGGUGGAGCGGUGCUUCAUCUCACACAUUGAUGGCGGCGGAUAUCGGCGGCAUGGCGCUGUGGGGACUCGGCGUCCGAUGCGUGGAGAUGGACUCGCGCAGGAGGAGGUAGCUAUCUGGCGUCAUGGUGACGUCAAUGGCAGAGUGGCUACACAAGGUAGAAGCCUCGAUAUUUGCUCUGAAGACGGACCGGUGGAAGAUGGCGGCGAUAGCACACGAGUGCGUCAGAUCGGUUUUGUGCCCUAGACCCGGUAUGUGGCAGAUGGCUUGACCGGAUCUGUCGGGGCUUCCGACUUUUGAUGUUAGGCUUAGGUAAGUGAUCUGGGUAUGUGGCCCAGCUAGCACCCCUUCAUCAUAUGGAUAGGAGUAGCGAUAGAUGUUGCGAAGAUGGUGGAUUCAGACAUAUUGUUGUAAUACUUUGUAAGGUCCUCGAGAAUAAUCAAUAAAAUGGCCGCAUGCAUCUCCCUGAUGCAGAGGCCGGGGAUCAUCCUCCUUUUCUAAAAAAACCAUAUAGCUUGUGUUCUUGAGUAGUUUUCCACUUAUUAUCAAAAUAGGACAAAGUGCGUGAUUUGUCCUAGAGGUUCUUGCCUUUAUUUAUCAUUCUAGUGCACGACGACGGUGGUAGACUUAUGAGCAAAAGGGAAAUAUUAUUCAGUGGUGUGUGGUUAACUUGUCAUAGCACUUUGUGAUUAGCUUCUGUAUAGUUCUAGCUGGUAAUAAGGUGCAAAAAUUGAAGUGCACGGUACAAUUAGUGAUGGAAACGGGGAAAAGUUGCAGUGAGUGUAUAGCUUUGUAAAUAAGCCUUGAACCUGUGGAGAAACCCAAACGUGGCCUUUUUUUUUUUUGAAAAGGAGGAGUACCUCCGGCCUCUGCAAUAGUACCCAAACGUGGCCAUGACGAGUGUAUUUCUCUUUAAUGGAACAAGAUGUUAACAUGUUUACCAGAUUUAGAAAUGCUACACUAAGUCGUAGUUUCCCUUUGUUAAAAACAUGCCAGGAAUGCAAAUUCGUGAUUAGGACGCAACCAUACAAGACACCCAGAAACUUGUGCGGUGCAAUGCUAAUUAAUGUUGCUAGUAGUAGUACUAUUAACUUUUUAGUAAUGGUAGCCAUCAAUCCCAUUUGAAGAAGGGUACUAACGUGACAUGAGGGAACUAAAGAUUAGAACUAGAAUUGGAACUGUGAUAUGAUGUCGUGAUGGCGCUGAUGCAUUUUGGUCGCACGUAUUAUUUUACGCACUAUAUAUCGCCAUAUUCUCUUUCAAAACAAUUAUAUCCAUCAUCGACUACCAUGGCUAUCAUUUAUUACCCAAUCCCAUUUGAACAAGAACGUGUAUAUCAAUCAAUCUCAUUUGAAGAAGAAGGUGACUACUGUGACACGAGGGACCUAAGGAUUAGAACUAAAAUUAAUGGCCGGUAGUCCGAAUGUCUGUAAUUAAACUAGCACUUCCUUUUUUCCCUAAUAAGUCGUUUUAGAUUUUGCUGACAUGACGAUGGAAAAAUCAUUCGGUGCUAUAGCCUAUAUGUGGUUGUUGUCGAGUAGUAUUGUGGAGUGAAAAGGGCAAGUGUGCAUUGCAGUGUAAUCACUUGUUUUUGCCAUUUUAGGACACCCUACUAAAAUACACUUUGGGAAAGUUUUGGUUUUGUGGAGAUAGCGUGGUGCACUGCAAAAAAAGAAAAAAGAAAAACAAGUCAUAGAAGGUGGUCACUGAGAAUAGAGUAUUAAUUAUAUGGACAUCUUAAUUAACAAAGGAAACAAACUAUCAUUACAGGUACGGUAAUGUCUCAUAGUGACCCUGAACAAUUUAAUUGUUCAAGUGGGCACUUUGUGAACCUUCAAACUAAUCAUAUCCAUUGGAAUCUAAGUUUUUCUCAGAUUUCAAAUCAAUGGGACAAAGUGUGUGGUAGCAGUGUAGUAUAUCGCUUUUGUUCUUUCUUAGAAUUUUUCCUAUUUUUAAAGUAGGAGAAAGUGUGUGGAUUGGUCUAGAGGUUCUCCUUGAUUUAUAUUUCUAGUACAUAAUGACGAUGAUUGACUUAUGAGCAAAAGGAGCAUGAUUAAUUAGCAAUGGGGGGAUCACUUGUCGUGCCACUAUGUGAUUAGCUUGAGUUCCAGUUGGAAGUACAGGGUAAAUAAUAAUUGAAACGAAAUAAAGUUGUCGUGAAUGGAUAGCUAUGUGAUGAAGCUUUGAACAUGUCAACACACCGAAACGUGGCCAUGAUGAGUGUUUUUAUCUUUAGUGGAACAAGAUGUUAACAUGUUGACCGGAUUUAGAAAUGCUACACGAAGACGCAACCAUGUCAGGAUUGAAAGUUCAUUAUUAAGACCCAACCAUACAAGACACCCAAAAACUUGUGUGGUGCAGUGCUAAUUAAUUAUUAUAGUAGUAUUGACUUUUGUAAUAGUAGUAGCCUAGUUUGUCGAAAAUAGGGACGUGUCUAGCCAUCGAUACCAUUUGAAGAAGAAGCUCACUAAAGUGACAGAGCGGACCUAAAGACUAGAACUAGAAUUAGUACAUUGAUAUGAUGUCGUGAUGGCCCUGCUGCACUUUCAUCACAUGUACUAUUUUGACGCACUAUAUGUGUCCAUAUUGCCUUUCGCAACUAUUAAUUCCACCAACUACUACUAUUGCUAUCAUAUAUUACGCAACUGCUACUUGACUUAUCUCAAGCCCAACAGCUUUGCUCUAUAUAGAUUUCAAAAUGGAAAUAUAGAUUUUGAAUGAAAAACUGAGUCCAACAUGUAUCUUUGCUAUAUAGAUUACUAUCAGUGGUCACCAAAGUUCCGAACAGCCAUACUAUUUUUCAAAUGUUUGGCUGCCCCUGGCCUUUGCAUCUCGGCAAUGCAUGCAACUAUUUUAUUAAUUAUUCUUCGUCGUCUUCUAUCCCCUUCUUUUUAUCCAUGCAACUAACACCACCUGCUCGCACCCCCCUCUUGUACCGCACACGAAGACUAUCGACCCAUGUGUUCCAACGUGAAAGUCAUUUAUACCAUGCACGUCACCUAAUGGCAAGACAUUAUAUUCAUCAACGACUACCAUGGCUAUCUUUUAUUGCCCAAUCCCAUUUGAAGGAAAACAUGUAUAGCCAUCAAUUUCGUUUGAAGAAGGUAACUCAAGUGACCCGAGGGAUUAGAACUAGAACGAAUGGCCGAUAGUCCAAAUUAUGAAAUAAAUUAUGUCGUCUUUCCUUUUCCGAAAAGUAGCAUUCGAUUUUGCUCUCAUGAUGAUGGAGAAAUCAUUCGGUGCUAUAGCAUGUAGGUGGUUGUUGUCGAGUAGUAUUGUGGAGUGAAAAGGACAAGUGCGCAUUGUUGUCUAAUCACUUGUUUGUGCCAUUUUAGGACACCCUCCUAAUAAAGAGUUUGGGUAACUUUCGGUUUUACGGAUAGCAUGGUGCACUACAGAAAAUGAAGUCAUAAAAGGUGGUCGUUGAGAAUAGAGUAUUAAUUAUAUGGUCAUCUUAAUGGAAGAAGGAAAGAAAUUAUCAUUAUAGGUAUCGGUAAUGUUUCAUAGUCACAAUGAACGAUUGAAUUACAAUUUCAAACACAAAAAGUUCUCCUAACUCUUCCGAGAAUCUUAAGAACUAACCUAUCCUUCGGAAUCUAAGUUUUCUCAGAUUUCAAAUCAUCUGGAAAAAGUUUGUGGUAGAAGAGUAGUAUUUGGUUUCCAUUCUUGCAUAGAUUUUCUCCCAUUUUGCAAAUAGUACAAAGUGUGUAUUUUGGCCUAGAGGUUCUUGCCUUGAUUUUAUCUUUGUAGUACGUGAUGGCGAUGGUUGACUUAUGAGCAAAAGCGACAUGAUUAGUUAGUGACAUGGGGAUCAGUUGUCGUGUCACUAUGUGAUUAGCUUGAGUGUCAGUUGGAAGUACAAGCUAAAAUUAAUGAUGUAAACGAAAUAAAGACGCUGACCAGAUUUAGAGAUAUGCUACACUAUGACCUAGUUUUGCCUUAUCAAAAGCAUACUUGGAUUGGAAGUUCAUCAUUAAGACGCAUUCAUACAAGACACCUAGUAGAAACGUGCGCGGUGCAAUGAUAACUAAAAGUUGUUAGUGGUAUUUACUUUUGUAAGAGUAGUAGUGUAGCCUGUGGGAAAUAGAGACGUGCCUAGCCAUCGAUCCCAUUUGAAGAAGCAGGUCACAAAACUGACACAGUGGACCUAAAGAUUAGAACUAGAAUUAGAACGGCGAUAUGAUGUCGUGAUGGCCCUGCUGCACAAAGCAGGUCACAUGUAUUAUUUUGACGGACUAUAUGUGGCCAUAUUAUCUUUCACAACCAUUAACUCCAGCAACAACUACUAUGGUUGUUAUUUACUACGCAACUGCUAGUAGACUUAUCUCAUGCCCAGCAGAUUUGCUAUAUAUAUUUUAAAACGGAAAUAUAUAAUUUUUUAACGGAAAACAAAGUCCAACAUGUAGCUUUGCUAUAUGGAUUGCUAUUAGCGGUCAUCAAAAUUGCUGAGCACCCAUGUUAUGUUUGAAUGAUUUCACUAGUGGGGACGGGGCCUUUAGCCCCGGCCCGUAAGGGCCUCUAGUCCCGGUUCACUAACCGGGACUAAAGGUGCGGGACUAAAGGCCUAACCUUUAGUCCCGGCCCUGUUUCAAGCCGGGACUAAAGGUGCUCCACAUGGGCGCCUCGUAGCGUCCUCAGGGGCAGGCCCUUUAGUCCCGGUUCGUUACACGGACCGGGACUAAAGAGUUUCAGAUUUUGUUUAUUUUUGGGUUUUAUUUUGAAUGAAAUUAUUUUUGGGUUUUAGGGUUUUAGGGUUUAGGUGUUCGGAAGAUUAACGUGAUGCCUCGUUUGAUGUUCGGGAAUUAGUUUUCAUAUAAUUUAAAUAGAAAUAAUUAUGCAUAUANNNNNNNNNNNNNNNNNNNNNNNNNNNNNNNNNNNNNNNNNNNNNNNNNNNNNNNNNNNNNNNNNNNNNNNNNNNNNNNNNNNNNNNNNNNNNNNNNNNNUUUCAAUUAAAAACUAUUUUUUUUGAGCUAGUUGACCUUGAAAUUGAAAAGCACUACAAAUGAACUCUGAAAAUGUUGAAAGUUGGCAUGCUAUCAUCAUUUCACCCACAUAGAAUGUGUUAAAAAGUUGAGAGGGCUACGACAAAAACUGGAUGCACUUCGUGUACAAAACGGACAAUCUCUCUCGAAGUAUCACGGUUUUGAAUGAGAACUCAUCUCUUACAAAGGGAUUUCAUUUUUUGAACUUAUUUUAACUCGAUACUUUUUGUGUGUUCAAAAUGCACCAUUCAAAGGCACAUUAUAAAAUUUCAACAAUUUCUGACUUCAUUUGGUAUAUUUCGUGCAUAUACUUAUUUUUUUUGAGCUAGUUGAACCUGAAAUUGAAAAGCACUACAAAUGAACUAUGAAAAUGUUGAUAGUUGGCAUGCUAUCAUCAUUUCACCCACAUAGCAUGUGUUAAAAAGUUGANNNNNNNNNNNNNNNNNNNNNNNNNNNNNNNNNNNNNNNNNNNNNNNNNNNNNNNNNNNNNNNNNNNNNNNNNNNNNNNNNNNNNNNNNNNNNNNNNNNNNNNNNNNNNNNNNNNNNNNNNNNNNNNNNNNNNNNNNNNNNNNNNNNNNNNNNNNNNNNNNNNNNNNNNNNNNNNNNNNNNNNNNUUCGUGUACAAAACGGACAAUCUCUCUCGAAGUACUAGGGUUUCGAACGAGAACUCAUCUCUUACAAAGGGAUUUUAUUUUUUUAACUUAUUUGAACUCCAUACUUUUUGUGUGUUCAAAAUGCACCCAUUCAAAGGCACAUCACAAAAUUUCAACAAUUUCUGACUUAAUUUGGUAUUUUUCGUGCAUUUACCUUUUUUUUAGCUACUUGACCCUGAAAUUGAAAAGCACUACAAAUGAACUCUGAAAAUGUUGAAAGUUGGCAUGCAAUCAUCAUUUCAUCCACAUAGCAUGUGUUAAAAAGUUGAGAGGGCGACGACAAAAACUGGAUGCACUUCGUGUACAAAACGGACAAUCUCUCUCGAAGUAUCAGCGUUUCGAACGAGAACUCAUCUCUUACAAAGGUUUAUUAAAAUUCUUUUUGCAUAUUUGAGAAUUUGACAAAACUAUGAAAAUGAAAAGUGUUUGAAAUUUAGUACAUUCCAUACAUGCAUUACAUAAAAAGUUUAAUACAUUAUUAUAUUAUUGCACCAAUAUUCCUAUCUAUUAUUUCUGUUUUCUUCUGCGUUAUACGUACAUCCAUACAUGUAAGCGGCUGUGCGUCGAUCACCGUACAUCCAUGGAUGGCUCAUCUGCGUUAUACGACAGUAUAUCAAAUACAAUCACGAUCCUAAAAAUUAGUACCGCACGGUCUAAACGAGGAAAUAUAGUUGCUAACCUUUUAGAAUAAGUAAAAAUAAAGAGGAAGAGGUUUAAGCGUGGCUCAGCCAUCUCAUAUCGUAGUUGUGUUCGGUGAACUAAAGCGGCAUCGCUCUAACACACAUUUCAACAAACACCUCUAGUGCAUAAAAAAAUGAGAGCUAGCACACACCCACACUCUUCCAUCCAAGAAAAAUGCAAGGAAGAGGGGAGAGGGGGGUUGUGCUAUAUAUAGGCAAAGGACUUUAGUCCCGGUUUGAGACACAAACCGGGACUAAAGGUGGCGCACAUGCGGGCUGCACAUCGCGUAGCCCUUUAGUCCCGGUUUGGGACACAAACCGGGACUAAAGGCUCCUUACGGGCCGGGACUAAAGCCUCGUGGGAGGCAUUGCGAUUUGGGGCGACGCGGCCGGGCCUUUAGUCCCGGCCCAGAGGCAGGCCGGGACUAAAGGGUCCAGACCAAAGGCCCGUUUUCCACUAGUGCAACGUAGAUAUAUGUCACUAUCUUACUAUUUUCUUUUGGGUUGUUUUUUACGAUGCAACUAGGGAGUUCCUGUAAUUUCAUAUAGAUAGUAAAAUGAAAAAUAAUAAGUGGGCCAUUUUAUUAAGUGGGGAACUAUGGUGAAAAGCUAAAAGAAAAAAAAGGAAAAGGAAACAACAAUAUUGAUGUCGGCCUAGGAAGACCUCCACAACCUACAUGACCAUCGUUAGACUCCCUCCAUUUCUUUUUACUAUGUGUAUAAAAUUUGUCUGAAGUCUAACUUCAUAAAGUUUGUCCAAAUUUAUAUGCAAAAAUAUCUACAUCUACGAUAAGGAAGUUAUACAAUAUGGAAAUUAAUUUCAUUAUUCACCCAAUGAUAUUGAUUUUGUAUUGUGAAUGUUGAUAUUUUUUUCAUAUAACGUUGGUCAAAGUUUACGAAGUUUGAUUUCACACAAAUCUUAUAUGUGGAUAAAUGGAGGGGGCAGGUACAAUGUGGGCUUUUUUUCUUUGUCGACAAACCAUCACUGUAGGAAACCAUGAAGGCAGGUUAAUUUGGAACAAUCUGUAGGCAGGUUAGUUUAUUGAGCUUGUUUCGUUUCUCAAGACAUUUACUUCAACGUUAAGAUACGCAUGUGUACACACUGAUAGGUUCAACUUAGAAAAAACUGCACAUGAUUUAGACCUGUACAAACCUCAGCCACAACUGACGCAUUAAUUUCAAUGUAAUGUGAUAUGUCAAGUACUGAUUCAACGGAUGCUUUUGAAAAAAUGUGUGCAUGACUUGGACCUUGUUGACGACUGGUCGUUCAAUCAUUCGUGUCGCGAGCUCAGCUACACACGCUCACAAAUUUCAGCAGUUUAUUUUGGAAAGAUGCAUAUCAACUUGAUUCACUGGCAACUUGUUGGUCCUGGUCGUCAUCUCAUUUAGCCAGUCUCCAAACCAUAUCAACAUCAACAGAAGCGUUCAACCAUUAGUGCAUCUCUCUGUACUUCAUCUCCUCAUGGUCAACUUUUUGAAAGAGUCAGGAGAGAAUAUACGAGGAAGCCAGGGAGUUAUUUCUGAAACUGAUGAGACAUAUUUUUUGUUGAUGCCAGGGACUUUAACCAAACAAUUUUAGAUGGAAACGGAUAGUAUUUUGUUUCUACGGAGGCCAAAAUAUUUUGGCCUGAUGUAUUCUUUUUCAGAAAAGAAAAAGAAAACAACGACGUGACUAAUGGUGCACAUAGAGGCAAUCCAUCUGGCCUAUUUAAAAAGUGAAAAUGCCGUCUAACAAAGCCGCCACCCAAUAAAUGUGGCUUGCGGCCAUAGUCCGCUAAAGGGGAAAUUGAUGCACUCUAAUCCAAACGUCUAAAUUCCACCUUUUUUUUAAAAAAAAGGAUGCAGGCAAGGAGCCGAGUCUCAAGCUGAAUUUGUCGGUUUGGGGGGUCUCACGAGAACGUAUGAGUUGAAAAAGGGUAGGCGAGUGUACCAAAGCACUGACAACCUCCUUUAGCAGUCGCGAGGUGAUGGAAACAAUGGUUGUUUUUAGGGGUGCUGGCGCUUAGGGGUUACCAUGUUAGGAGCAAGAGCAUCCGCAAAGGACCAUGUGUGGCUAAGUCAUCGAUAAAUACCAAACUAAAAUUUUGGGUCCAAGGGCCUCCGAAAAGGACCAUGUGACUUAGUCAUCAAUAAAAGUUGGACUAUUCUGUUAAAACUUGAUCUGAAUCUACUAUAUAAGCCAAGACCAACACCUUGAGUCCCUGUAGUACCUCAGCAUAUACUUCCUGUGAGCUCUUGUUCUGAAGAUGUCGGCGAGCAGGAGGCAAUCUUCUAUUGCUGUGGUGCUGCUGCUAGUGUUCCUUCAACUCAUCAGUUCGCUCGCCCGACCUCCAUGUAAGCAAGUGAAUGCCUUUGCUUCAGCUCUUUGUAAAGUAGAUAUUGAUUUACAAACCCAUGUUUCUUAGUACAACUAAUUUACAUGAGUCAGUCACUUUCCUCGGUAGGGUAACUAACUAGGAGGGAAAGGAUGGUUUACAGAACUUAUAAUUGGUAGUUUUUCUAUGGAGCUGAAUUUGGAUUUUGGAGUAAUUCUGAAUUUUCAAUGAUACCUUGUAACUAACUAAGUUCGUACUAGGUAUGAUUCAAUUCUGGCCCUAUCUAGAAUUUUUCAAUGAUACCUUGUACUCAAGACCAAACUCCAGUUUAAAUGGGACCAUAUCCAAUAGAAGAAACUAGUCAUUUCAUGGAUGCGCACAAAACAUAUUCAAACAGAGCAGAGUUUGAUGAAAAACUGGCCGUUUACAUACUUAAAAUAGAAUAUGUGCUUUCUUCUCAGAAAAAAAAUUGAAACGGAACACAUAGUAUAACAUUUUCUUUUGAACUUAAGUAAGUUCCAAAAAAUGUCAUAUUGUUUAGUUUCUCCAAACAAGUGUGAGAUGAAAAGUUUAUUACCUCACCUACUGAGGAGAUCAACGUAGAUCCAUUUUAUUAUUCUUAAAAAGGUUGGUUGAUCGAUAUAUAUAUAUAUAUCCCACCAGUUGUCUUCCUUUUCUUCAUUUGGAUCCAUGUGCAGGCGAUUAUCUUCGUCCAGGAACCUGUCGCUAUAAGAAACCAUGAAGUGGAGUUGAAAAAUGCGUGCAUGAUUCAUGCUUGCUUCGUUGGUUCAUAUUACCUUAUAUAGAUUGUUAUGUUUUUCUGGAGAAUUAUGCGUGCUGUGAGGAAUGGUUAGUCCAGUUUGUUGGCAAUGUAAAAUAUGUGAAGUUUAAAAUCACAUCACGGUGCAUUUUGAUGGAAUCUGCAUUCUCCAUUAUUAUUUCUGGAAACUAGUAUUUGCUAGAAAUGUUUACUUCUGUGGGACACUAACGCAUGUGUAACACAUUGAUUCACCUUGGAAAAAUUAUAUAGUACCUUUGUACCAUAAUAUAAGAUGCUAUUGCUGUUCAAAUAACGUCUUAUAUUAAGGUACAUAGGCAGUACCUCACAUGGUUUAAACUUAUUCAAAUCUCCAGGAGCAACUAUAACCGUACAAUAACGUGUUUAUUUCAACAUGAUGUGAUGUAUCAGAUACACUGAGUCAAUGGAUGCUAUGGAAAAAUUGGAUAUGUUCCUCAAAAAAAUAAAUUGCAUAUGACUUGGACUUUGUCCUGUUCGCUGACGGUUGGUCAUUUCACUGGACUCGCAAUUUUUAUUGGUUGGUUUUGGGAAGUUCUACAGGAAUUUCAUUCUAUUUGAUGCACCGGCGACUGGUCAUCUCAGCUACUCAGUCUUCAAACAACAUCCACAUCAACUCACAUAAACAUACUUAGUUUGACCAGACGUUUCCAGUACUCAAUAUCAGCCAAUCAGCCUUCUCCCAGCGAUUGGCAGAUUAACUUUCUGAUUGUAUCGGUGAGAGAAUAUGUGAGGAGGCCCGGGAGUUAUUUCUGAAUUCUAAUGCGUACAAGAAACAAUUUGUGUUCAUGCAAGGAGCUAGAAACAAUAGCGCAAAAUAAAAAAGAGCAACAAACAAACAAAUAAGUUUAGAUUGAAACUGUUAAUUUUUUUAUAUUUCGAGGAUAUUUCAUCAGACAAUGGUUGAGCCAGUGGUCGAAAUAGUAAAAUAAUCAAAGAAACGAUUUACUGUCCAAAAACAUUUUGCCAGCUAAGUUUUUGUGGGGGGUCAGAGAAGUGAGAGUGUUCUCACCUUAACAUGGCGUUACUACUUAGAGCAUCUCUAGCCGAUCCCCGAUAAAGCUUUAGAGGAGCAAAAUAAGGAGUUAACCACUAACCGAUCUCUCAAGCUUUAGAGGAGAAAAAUAAGGAGUUAACCACUAACCGAUCUCUCAAGCUUUAGAGNNNNNNNNNNNNNNNNNNNNNNNNNNNNNNNNNNNNNNNNNNNNNNNNNNNNNNNNNNNNNNNNNNNNNNNNNNNNNNNNNNNNNNNNNNNNNNNNNNNNNNNNNNNNNNNNNNNNNNNNNNNNNNNUCUCUCAAGCUUUAGAGAAGGGAAAUUUUACUCCUCUAAGUUUACGCCAGCAUCCAACUGUCCCAUCCUCUCCUCCGCAACACCACUCCUUUUCUCCCGUCCACCGCUGUUGGAACCGACGUUGACCACCCUGUUGACCGGGAAAAUGCCACCCCCCCCCCCCCAAAUGCUCACGCAACUCCGACGACGCCGGCUCGAGGAACUUCAUAAAAAUGUGACUCUCUUGCGACCCCAGCAAUAUAUAUGCGAUGAUAAUCUAAUUAAAACAAUGAAGCAAGCAUGCNNNNNNNNNNNNNNNNNNNNNNNNNNNNNNNNNNNNNNNNNNNNNNNNNNNNNNNNNNNNNNNNNNNNNNNNNNNNNNNNNNNNNNNNNNNNNNNNNNNNNNNNNNNNNNNNNNNNNNNNNNNCAAUGAAGCAAGCAUGCACACAUUUUUUCAAAGUUCACUUCAUGACUCGGGGCCUAUUCUUGUAAGUUGUUUGCACACCAAUCUAUAUCGUAACCUCUAAAUGUUUACAUCGUAAGUCCUCAAUCUUUGUAUCUUGGAAAGGAGGAUACGGCUCAGACACUGCCGAUGAUGAUGUGUCUUGCAGUUAUACUGUCGGAGGACGCUAGAGAUGUCCAUCUUGUGGGCGACGUGAAGGUGAUCUUGAUGACAAUGUUGAUGAAGAAAGCACGGAUAUAGACUUUGGCGAUAAUUUUGGUGAAGAAGCAACAUGUGUGAAGUAGUGUCGCUUGAAGCGUCCCUGGUGUGUUGAUGCCUCGAUGUCAGAGAAGUCGAUGAAGUCGUGUUCCCCACCGGCCCAUGGCUGAUGUCGCAUCGCAUGGAUUUGUGCUCGAUGAAGUAUGUUAGCUCGUACCUAGAAAUGUUACGACGCCUACUGCCAUUUAAUGUUGAAAUAUAUUGUCCACGUCUCUUCAUCAGUUUGGAAUUUUGAAGCAACUGACUCGAGCGUAAAUUCAAUAUAGUAUAAGAUCCAAAAGGUCUCAAGUUCAAGACCCUACCAAUGCAAUAUAAAAAAUGUUAUGUGGCCUAUGUUGAUCCCAUGUCGAAGGACUAAAACACACUCGACGUGAGGAGUGUUGAAAUAACUGUUCGCCUUCCUCCAUCAGUUUGGAUUUUUCGAACAAGUUAUAGCAUGAAUUCAAUAUCGACAAGAUAGCUUCGACUUAGGUGAAAACCGUUAAUCAUGUGUCGAUCAAGCUAGUAACAUCGAAGACCCAUCUCGUGACAUUUUCACUGCCGAAGCACAAACUUAGCAUCACUGACUCCACGAAGACAUGGUAAGGCAGGAGUAGUCCUCAAACAUGUUGGAUGAGGCCGACUAUCAUAGCCUAGCCAUCAACGAAUUCUGCCCAAAUCUACGACCGUUUACUAACAUGAAGACACGCUACUUUGUUCCAGGGUCAUAGCCCUAGAAUCCCCACUGGAAGCAACAUAAACCCAGAAACCAAGCUAACUCAAAGAUGAUGCCUUUGGGAAGGACGGUGGCACAAUAGGCAGCGCCAAC
rnacentral:lncRNA from 1 species